rnacentral:rRNA from 1 species
GAGUUUGAUCAUGGCUCACAUUGAACGCUGGCGGCAGGCCUAACACAUGCAAGUCGAGCGGUAGGGAAGCUUGCUUCUCACGAGCGGCGGACGGGUGAGUAAUGUAUGGGGAUCUGCCCGAUAGAGGGGGAUAACUACUGGAAACGGUAGCUAAUACCGCAUAAUCUCUAAGGAGCAAAGCAGUCCGUUGCGCUAUCGGAUGAACCCAUAUGGGAUUAGCUCUUUGGUGAGGUAAUGGCUCACCAAGGCGACGAUCCCUAGCUGGUCUGAGAGGAUGAUCAGCCACACUGUGACUGAGACACGGCCCAGACUCCUUCCGGAGGCAGCACUGGGGAAUAUUGCACAAUGGGCGCAAGCCUGAUGCAGCCAUGCCGCGUGUAUUAAGAAGGCCUUAGGGUUGUAAAGUACUUUCAGUUGGGAGGAAGGCGUUGAUUAAUAUCAACGAUUGACGUUACCAACAGAAGAAACACCGGCUAACUCCGUGCCAGCAGCCGCAGUAAUACGGAGGGUGCAAGCGUUAAUCCGAAUUACUGGGCGUAAAGCGCACGCAGGCGGGUGGAUC